AGAGUUUGAUCCUGGCUCANAACGUACGCUGGCGGCACGCCUAACACAUGCAAGUCGAACGAAGUAGCAAUACUUAGUGGCAGACGGGUGAGUAACAUGUGGGUAUCUGCCCUUUGGCCUGGAAUAACACGAGGAAACUUGUGCUAAUACCGGAUAAGUCUUUACGGAGAAAGCUUUAUGCACCAUUGGAUGAGCCUGCACUUGAUUAGUUUGUUGGUGGGGUAAUGGCCUACCAAGACUGUGAUCAAUAGCUGAUUUGAGAGGAUGAUCAGCCACAUUGGGACUGAGACACGGCCCAAACUCCUACGGGAGGCAGCAGUGGGGAAUCUUGCACAAUGGAGGAAACUCUGAUGCAGCGAUGCCGCGUGAGUGAAGAAGGCCUUUGGGUUGUAAAGCUCUUUCGUCGGGGAAGAAAAUGACUGUACCCGAAUAAGAAGGUCCGGCUAACUUCGUGCCAGCAGCCGCGGUAAU
rnacentral:rRNA from 1 species